rnacentral:rRNA from 1 species
CCUANGGGAGGCUGCAGUCGAGAGGCUUCGGCAAUGGGGGAAACCCUGACCGAGCGACGCCGCGUGGGUGAUGAAGAUUCUCGGAUCGUAAAACCCUGUCAGGUGGGAUGAAAAACCAUUCGGUUAACACCCGAGUGGCUUGACAGUACCAUCAGAGGAAGCUCCGGCUAACUCCGUGCCAGCAGCCGCGGUAACACGGGGGGAGCAAGCGUUGUUCGGAUUCAUUGGGCGUAAAGAGCUCGUAGGCGGCUCUGUAAGUCGGAGGUGAAAGACCACAGCUCAACUGUGGAAACGCCUUCGAAACUGCGGAGCUUGAGGCCGGGAGAGGAAAUCGGAAUUCCUGGUGUAGCGGUGAAAUGCGUAGAUAUCAGGAGGAACACCGGUGGCGAAGGCGGAUUUCUGGACCGGUUCUGACGCUCAGGAGCGAAAGCCAGGGGAGCAAACAGGAUUAGAUACCCCANUANUC